UCCAUGAGAGGAAAUUAGAAA
ensembl:piRNA 21ur-7341 ncRNA